AUACGGAAGGUCCGGGCGUUAUCCGGAUUUAUUGGGUUUAAAGGGAGCGCAGGCGGAGAUGCAAGCGUGACGUCAAAUUUCGGGGCUCAACCCCGUCUCGCGUCGCGAACUGCGUCCCUUGGUUGCGGGAAGGGGAGGCGGAACUCGUGGUGUAGCGGUGAAAUGCAUAGAUAUCACGAAGAACUCCGAUCGCGAAGGCAGCCUUCCGGCCCGUCAACGACGCUCAUGCUCGAAGGUGCGGGUAUCAAACAGGAUUAAAUACCCUGGUAGUCCGCACAGUAAACGAUGGACACCCGCGGUUUGGCCUGUGUGGCUGAGCCGCCAAGCGAAAGCGUUAAGUGUCCCACCUGGGGAGUACGCCGGCAACGGUGAAACUCAAAGGAAUUGACGGGG
rnacentral:rRNA from 1 species